UGUUUCGGCUAGGGGGCCAUCCCGGCUUACCAACCCGAUGCAAACUGCGAAUACCGGAGAAUGUUAUCACGGGAGACACACGGCGGGUGCUAACGUCCGUCGUGAAGAGGGAAACAACCCAGACCGCCAGCUAAGGUCCCAAAGUCAUGGUUAAGUGGGAAACGAUGUGGGAAGGCCCAGACAGCCAGGAUGUUGGCUUAGAAGCAGCCAUCAUUUAAAGAAAGCGUAAUAGCUCACUGGUCGAGUCGGCCUGCGCGGAAGAUGUAACGGGGCUAAACCAUGCACCGAAGCUGCGGCAGCGACACUGUGUG
rnacentral:rRNA from 1 species